AAUUUCAACUGAAAAAGUUGUCAACAACAAAAUUGAAUAACUCAUCAAGAUCUAAAACUUUUAUUUUGGUCAUUUCUUCAUCUGAUAAAGCGAUAGUAACAUUGUUCACAAAAUUGACCUAUCUCUUAUCUGGUUUUACAAACUAUAACACAUAUAUGUAAAAUUUGUGAACAAUGUUACUAACAUUUUAUCAGAUGAAGAAAUGACCAAAAUAAAAGUUUUAGAUCUUGAUGAGUUAUUCAAUUUUGUUGUUGAUAACUUUUUCAGUUGAAAUC
rfam:Oryza nivara chromosome 4, whole genome shotgun sequence.